AUGGAAGCAAAAAUGGUGCUCAACAUCCUUUUCCUGCUCUCAAUUCUUCUCAUCCAGGGAUCCUACGUUGAAGGAAUCGCACAUGCGUGCACUACAAAUGACGCAAGGCCCGCAAAGCAAAAAUCAUGAAAAGGCAUGCGCGGCGAAUCUGUUCCGCCGCUCGAAGGCUGAGUUGUGAUCAGAUCCUACAGGACGACUACCCCGACUUCGAGAGCCAGAAACAAGAGAUUUAAUAAGCUGAGAAGAUGUUUUAAACUUUAAAAACGUAAAACGUUGUUUAGAUCUUUCAAAAUCUACCAGUAAAGUAAGUCCACAAAAAGAAAA